UGGGAACCUUCCCUAUGGUUCGGAAUAGCUCAGGGAAACUUGGGGUAAUACCGCAUACGCCCUACGGGGGAAAGGGGGGAUCUUCGGACCUCUCGCUAUUGGAUGAGCCCGCGUCGGAUUAGCUUGUUGGCGGGGUAACGGCCCACCAAGCGGCAAUCCGUAGCUGGUCUGAGAGGACGAUCAGCCACACUGGGACUGAGACACGGCCCAGACUCCUACGGGAGCAGCAG
rnacentral:rRNA from 1 species